UCACAACAAUAAAAGAUAACAGGAUUGUAACUAACAACCAAGCAUUUCUGAACACACUCAUUUGAUUACUUUCACCAGGUAUGCAUAUCUCUACAUUUUCAAUAUCUUAUCAUUAAUUAAAAAUAAGUAGUAUCUUCUAAGAGUUUCAAAUAUUAAGAGAAACUACUAUCAUAUUUUUGGCAUUGCUAGGGUGAUCUGAUAAGGAAUACAGUAUUCUAUAAAAAAAUACAAAAACUAAAGGUGUAUAAGUGGGCAACGCCGUUUAAAAGAACAAAAUAAUUGUGGCAUCUGUGCUAGCAUGAGAAGCCUAAAAUAGAAAAUAAUGUAGUGAAACCAGGUUUCCCUCCUGCUUAUUUAUACAUGUGAAAAGGUACUUAUGUUUACAUUUUCAGUUUCCAAGAUCUCUUUCCAGAACUGCUGAAAACACUAUUGCUGUAAAAUGUGGAUAAUCACCUCACAAGUCCCCAAAUUUCCCAAGUACUUAAAGCACAUCUCCCAGGUUGCUGAGAUGUCUUAGUACUCAUUUCAAGACAACUUUCUCAAACUUGGCUCUCAAAGUCAGAAGAAUCAUAGUUAACAUCCAUACCGCACUGACUGCGCUUAAUAGUUUAGGACUUACCUUGGGACUAAAAUGGACCACACAGGAAAGAGAAUGAGGUGUAUCCUGCUUUAUACAAUAAAAUUCCAGAAAAGCUACACUUCCAUUUUGAAUACUAGGUGAAGAGCAGCCUCCAAAGGAACAGGUGUUUUUAACUUUGGCCCAUGUUGGCCUUCAGAGAUGACUGGCUUUUGGGGAAACAGCUGCCAUGUUGUGAGGACACUCAAAUACCCAAGUGGAGAGGCCAACGAGGCAAGGAACUGAGGCGUACUACCAACAACCAUAUGCAUGAACCAUUUUGCAAGCAGAUCUCAAGCCUUCAGAGACUGCAGCCAUAGGUGACAUCUUGAUUGCAACCUCUUGAGAGCCUCUGAGCCAGAACUACCUAGUGAAGCACUCCCAAAUUCCUGACCCAGAAAAAUUGGGACCUAAUAAAUGUUUGAGUUUCCAA